AAUGGAGAAAGAAAUUGAGGAUCAUCAUAAAAAAUCGUCACUAUGUGCAUCAAGGCCAAAGUAUAGGGAUGCAAGAUGGGAAAGGGCUGUUAAGGUCUAUACAAUAAAUUUGGAGUCAAAAUUUUUACUGGUUCAAGGUGUUCCAGCUUUGGGUGUAACUAAGGAUUUGUUGGAAACAUUUGCAAUUUAUGGCACAAUAGAUGAGUAUAGGAUUUUGGAUGAUUAUCCUUCAGAUAAAUUCACAAAGGUUUAUUGGAUAAAAUUUAGGCAUAUUAUGGCUGCACGAAAAGCUAAAAGAAAACUCGAUAAUCGUUCGUUUUUCGGUGGUAUUCUUCACGUUUCCUAUGCGCCAGAAUUCGAAUCGGUGGAAGAAACUAAGCAGAAAAUAAUGGAUCGAAAACGAGUCGUUGAACGUAAAAUACAUUAUAGUCAAAAACAAUCAAAGAGCGAACAGGAAACUGAUCACGAACCACAGACUUCGCAACGUUCGCGCAGUAUACAAUCAGAUUCUACUGUUACAUGUUCAAGAGUGCACUCGACAGAAAUAGCUGAUAAUCAGUCGACUGCCUCAACUUCAUCCAUGCCAGCAACCGCUAUGUAUGAGAACGAACCCACUCAUGCGAUUGUAAAUGAAUCACCAUAUCCUCCCCAAUUACCACCAUUCUCUGUUCCUACUUAUCCUUCGCAAGUGCCAACUAUGUCCACCUCAUUAGCCAACCCCCCUCAUAGAAAUGUAGGCGAGAAUCCUCCCUCAGCAACGGCUCCUCCCCAGCAACAUUACUCCAAGGCUCAAUCUGGACCUGUAACUUCUUCCAGCCGAAAAUUAUACGGUUAUAACACAAGUGUUAGUUUCCCUACACUACCUCCAAAUCAGAGGAAAGGAGUAUCUCUUCAGCCACCUGGUGACAAUACAAUUGAGGAAUCUUUAACCGGUGAUCCUUCCUUGGACAGAACUGUUCUUUCUAUAAGAGAAAAACUAAAAAGGGUCAAUAAAGAUCCCAUCGCUGAAACACAGGCGACAGUUGGUGACAAAAAGAAAAAACAAAGAAAACGAAUAUAGCGUUGUGGUUAAUAUUUUUCUGGGCAUUUAAUUGUUGUUACGACCGUGAGAAAGAUGCAAGUGUUGCCAAUGUAAUGACAGUUGUAAUAAGUGCAGCCCAAAAAUUAAAAACCAUAACAGCGUAGUAAAUAUCACGUAGUCGUGGACUCAUCAAAGACCAAUCACAUGGAAUACGACAUGUGCCAUUCUCAUCCUUUACCAAUGGAUGUAGACAAGAGCUGAAGUUUCUUUCUAAAAAUCAGAACUUUGAAGUGAGACUGGGUGCAGGAAAUUAUUAAAAUAUGACGUAAAUAGGACAGAGAUGCAAAUUAUACUAAAACAUUGCGACAUGAGACAGGAGCAGCAAAAGCAUUCAAUAGAAAGGCGUCCAGGAAAUGAAUGUUAGGAAAUGAAGCUCAGGAAAGACAAUCCAGUUUGGGUGUGUGAUACGAAACUGACGAAAUA